rnacentral:lncRNA from 1 species
AUAUAAUUAACAUAUAAUAUAUAUAUACGCAAUCUCAGGCCAGGCCGGACCAUUUUUUUUAAUUUUUCCAGGUCUGGCCCAAUUUUUAGAUCGGGCCUCCUUUUUUGCCCAAGCUUGUUCCACAAGCCAAUUUUUACAGCCCAAGCCACUAGAUUUCGAGCUGGGUUGAGCAGGCCGCCUGGACCGUGAUUAGCUCUAUAUCUACCAUAUGUAUCCUAAAGGACAUACCUUAUUGAUACUAUCUACCAUGUAUGUUAUCUACCAAUGUUAUCUACUAUGUAUGUUAUUGGCAUGAUCAUAAUUGUUGUAUUCGUCGUUAUCGAUGCGUACCGACUGCAUCGGUACCGAACUGGUAUGUGGUACGGAGGGCAUAUCGAGUGUCAAUAUGCCGAACCGGCCCCAUUACCGAGAAUACCGAUAUAGUAAUAGGGUGGUACCAGGUCUGGAUCCGAGAUAGCAAACCCUAGGCAUGGUACAUAGUUGAAAAACAAUACAAUAUCCAUAAUGACUCAAAUUCGACAUACAUUGCUGCAAGAUAGCUUGUACAUGUACAUAUCAUUUUAUGUGCAGUGUACAAGCAUGUAACUUGCAUUCCCCUUUAAACCCAUGCUCAACCAAACAACACAACUAACACUUUGUGUCUAAAAAUAUACAAAGACAAACCAAUCUUUUCAAUCAUUUUAGUUUAAAUAAUUUAAUCAUGUUUUCUUGUUUUCAAUCUGAAUCAUGAAGUAGAAGAACCUACACCAUAUGAAGCAUCAAAGUCCAAUAAAUCUUGAGGCAUGAAAACUACUAACGAAGGCCUCUGCAUAAACCAAAUAAAUGGGAUGAUCUACUGGUGAUGAUAAGUCAUAAGCUAAAGAAGUUUUAUGCAUCUGGUGUCAUAAUAGCAUACUUUUAACUCAGUUUUUUCUGAAAUAGUAUUUCUCAAAUGGUUUGUUUAUCAUUUUACUUGCACCAUCAGAAUCAUAGUUGAAAACAUCAGACUCAUGCAAUCUUUGGCCCUACAAACAGUAGACACCCAGCAUAUAUUUUGCAGUGCUAAGCCCACUAUGGCCACUCAAAUUCAUACCAGCCUUGUGCAGUUAAGUGUCAAAGUACUACUUAGUAUCAUGGUGGUCAAUGCCCAUCUCAUUGUUACGCACUACAUACAAUGCAUGGGAUAGAUCAUGAGUAAUGCCGACAGCAUUUGAGCUUCUUACACUACCAGAUAUAAGCAUGCAACACUUACAAUAAUCUGUCGAUACAUUUAUCUAUGAAAUUUGAGAAAACUUUUGGUGUUGACAGCCCAUACUUUAAACAUCGAUCAUCAAAGAAAUUUUGGAUACAUUAUAGCACUAAUGAACUAGAUUUGUAUAUAUUGAUUAAAGUGAUGUUAUUUGUCCUUCAUAUAUUUGUAACAGUCUGAACUGGUUUACAUUAGGGGAAAUUAAACUAAGUAUUAAAGCUUAGCAUGGUUGUGAAUUAAUGCAUAUCUAGUCUCAACACUGUAUGGAUAUGGCAUGCUUACAAUGCCAGGCCCCAGGUAGGAGGGGCUUAUACGUGAUAUUUUAUUAAUCAAUCUCCUUAGAGAUCAAGAUAACAAUAUUUCCAUCCUCUUACAUGGUGUGCUUAAGUGAUGUAAUAUUUUCGGAAGUUGUGAAGGUUAGCUAUGAAUGCAACUUGGGCAUUUUCAUUCCCUCCAAUGUCAUUUCUCUGGCACAUCCUCAUCAUAUGUACAUAUCUCUUUGGUAUCCUUUAUCAAAUCAGUCUUUCCAACCUCAAUUUCACCAUCAUGCAUGGAAGAAGCAUUGCAAGGAAAGGUGGCACUCCAGUAUUAUUAGAUCCAAUAACAUGAAGACAAUACAUACAUGCAAGUGAUUCAUUACAAAUGCUGUAUCAGAAUUAUCAUUCAGAUUUUCAUGUGGUAUUCUUAAUCAUCACAUCCUCCAAGAUUAAAAAUGCUACCUCCAUGGGCUUAUAAGUUCAAAGUUGAGGAUUGUCUUGUAUGAUGGGUGUGUAUAUAGAGAAGUUCCAAGCAAUAUUUUAUGAAGACAUACUAUGUAUUGCAAGAUUCGUCAUAUCGGUACAGAACCGGUAUGCAGUCUCGUACCAUACUGACACUCAGUAUCCCUCGUCAUCUCGUAUCGUACCACAUACUGACACUGUAAUAGGAUGCUACCGGUACAGAAUCCGAUACUAAGACGGCGAACCUAUUGUAUUAUCAUAUCAUUUUUGGAUUUUGGAAUCCAUCUAACAUAUGUUAUUUCAAAAAGAAUCACCAAGUUCACUUACAAAGAAAACCAAUAAAUCCCAAAUCACUAACAUCUGAUCAUUUUGCUAUACUCAAUUUUACUUCACAAAGAGAUGCUUCAACACUCAACUUCCUAUACUAUUUAAAAAACCUUGUUUCCCAGCUCUCAAAUUUGCUCCUACCUCAAGUUACUCACCCCCCCCCCAAUUAAGUUGAAGAAAACAUUUGAUGCACGCAUUUUUAAUUCAAGCUGGUUACUCAAAACAACUAAAAAAUAUAUAUGCACACGCAUACGCAC